GACGAACGCUGGCGGCGUGCCUAAUACAUGCAAGUUGAGCGCUGAAGGUUGGUACUUGUACCAACUGGAUGAGCAGCGAACGGGUGAGUAACGCGUGGGGAAUCUGCCUUUGAGCGGGGGACAACAUUUGGAAACGAAUGCUAAUACCGCAUAAAAACUUUAAACACAAGUUUUAAGUUUGAAAGAUGCAAUUGCAUCACUCAAAGAUGAUCCCGCGUUGUAUUAGCUAGUUGGUGAGGUAAAGGCUCACCAAGGCGAUGAUACAUAGCCGACCUGAGAGGGUGGUCGGCCACAUUGGGACUGAGACACGGCCCAAACUCCUUCGGGAGGCAGCAGUAGGGAAUCGUCGGCAAUGGACGAAAGUCUGACCGAGCAACGCCGAGUGAGUGAAGAAGGUUUUCGGAUCGUAAAACUCUGUUGGUAGAGAAGAACGUUCGUGAGAGUGGAAAGCUCAUCAAGUGACGGUAACUACCCAGAAAGGGACGGCUAACUACGUG
rnacentral:rRNA from 1 species